GCUUCAAAAUGGGUAUCUACAAUGGGAGCAUCAGUGUCUUCAUUUGUCACAAUGAGGCUAAACCAGGGAGGUCUGGAAAGGGGUGUUCCAGCUUUCAAUGGGAACUUUUGCGGAGGACCCAUUUGUGAUUGGAAGAUUCAAAGAGGCUGCAAUACAGCAUCCUAGUAACUUAUUUGGAUCAAACUAUCAUGUAUUUGAGUGAAUUCAAUGAUAAUAUACCGUCAUCAUGUGCUUUCAUGCACAUGACAACGGACGGGUCAAUGGUUAUCUCAGGCUGUAAUCCAAAGGACAUCAUCAGUCACACAUUACGGACAGAGGCGGCAGCCACAGCCAGAAUUGGAGCAUAUUCAGGAUGCUGAUCCUUGACUCUCUGCAGGGGCAUCUGGGUCAGCAAGUGUAUCAAGAGAUCCAUCAGACCACCACUAGAUACAUGAAUCAGAUUGCUCGGUGUGCUUGAAAGUCAUUUAAUUACAGCUUGGAGUUGGAGGUCUGUGAGGUGCCGCAGCAGGAAAACCUGCAUGAUUGCGGUUUGCAUGUUCUUGCAUACAUGGAGGCCUUUCUAAAUGUUUUCUGGUUUGGUUUGUUGCUGUUAUUAGGAUGGACUUCAUCAGCUGACACCCGGACCAUAUGGAAAGGUUAUGCGGAGAAGGAUCCUCCAUCUUUCUCAUGAUGUCGGCACCCAGUCCGUCCCUUAAUUGAUAAUGCCACACUAUAUAAUAUUGUUAUGUUCGUUAUGUAAUUGUUACAUUAGAUACAGUGGUUUGAAGAAUGUGUAAAUGCAUUUGCAGCCUCCCAUGAAACUUAUUGGAAAAAAUUAAAUCGAAGGGAAAGCAAAGUUUAAGUAAAGUUUUCUGGAAUUCUGGGGAUGGGUGUUCGCUUAAUGAUCCUUUGCAUGCAAACACGUAUUGCGAAUUUUCCUCAUCACUGUUUUGUUGAUGUAUUUUCAACAAGUAAUGUACAGCAGCCAAUGAUUAUUUCAUAAAAUUACGCCAACAUGAACAGUCACGAAUUGCCUUCAGUAAAUUGUUCAUGCAAAUGUCCCAACAUCAGAAUGGAAUAGUGAACCUGUGACGAGAUUUCGUCAUAAAAAUAGAACAGUACUUAAUUUCAGGAAGGGUAAACAGUGCAGCUGGAAAUGACAGUAACGAGUGCUUUGAUUAAAGGGUGAUACAUAAUGCUGGCAGCUCUUAUAAUUUUCUUUUGAUAAGAACAAGGCAUAUCGUUGGUUGGAUACACGUGUCAAUUCUCUUUUGUUAAUUUUACCUUUGAAAUGCCAAUAAUCAACAGUAAACCACUUAAAAGGUUAUUUUUACAGUGUCGGCUUCCAACGUUACUUAAUAAUUAACUUGUAUUGACGUAUUAUUUAUUGUAUAAUAGCGGGUAUGUAACAAGAUAAUGUUCAAGAGAAAAGGGAAACAUUGCCAGCUUUACAAACAUGAUUGUAGGCCUACGCAUCAUGGGUGAGAGAAAGAAGUAGAUGUGCUAGGUUGGAUACAUAAAACAAGUACAAAAAUUUGCGAAUACAGUUGCAUAAAAGUGUGUGCAUUCGUGAGAGAGGUCCUUGUAACAGGAACAUGUUAUCAUGAAUAAAAGUAAUUUCGCUUUCCAAGCA